AUUGAACGCUAGCGGGAUGCUUUACACAUGCAAGUCGAACGAGUGGCGGACGGGUGAGUAAUAUAUCGGAACGUGCCCAGCAGCCGGGGAUAACUACUCUAAAGAGUGGCUAAUACCGCAUACGAUUGGAGCGGCUGUUAUCGGAGUAGCUAGUUGGUGGGGUAAAGGCUCACCAAGGCAACGAUCCGUAGCUGGUUUGAGAGGACGACCAGCCACACUGGGACUGAGACACGGCCCAGACUCCUACGGGAGGCAGCAGUGGGGAAUUUUGGGCAAUGGAGGAAACCCUGAUCCAGCCAUCCCGCGUGUAUGAGAAGGCCUUCGGGUUGCAAAGUACUUUUGGCAGAGAAGCGGUAUCUGCCGAGUAAGCACCGGCUAACUACGUGCCAGCAGCCGCGGUAAUAC
rnacentral:rRNA from 1 species